rnacentral:rRNA from 1 species
CCUACGGGUGGCAGCAGUCGAGAAUCAUUCACAAUGGGGGAAACCCUGAUGGUGCGACGCCGCGUGGGGGAAUGAAGGUCUUCGGAUGGUAAACCCCUGUCAUGUGGGAGCAAAUUAAAAAGAUAGUACCACAAUAGGAAGAGACGGCUAACUCUGUGCCAGCAGCCGCGGUAAUACAGAGGUCUCAAGCGUUGUUCGGAAGCACGGGGCGUAAGGCGUGCGUAGGCUGGUUCGCAAGUCGGGUGCGAAAGGCGCGGGCUCAACCCGGGAACGGCACAUGAUACUGCGAGACUAGAGUAAUGGAGGGGGAACCGGAAUUCUCGGUGUAGCAGUGAAAUGCGUAGAUAUCGAGAGGAACACUCGUGGCGAAGGCGGGUUCCUAGACAGUAACUGACGCUGAGGCACGAAGGCCAGGGGAGCAAAAGGGAUUAGAUACCCUAGUAGUC